GUGUGAUUUUUGGACUUGUUGGUGAAUAUGCUUGUGAAGGGCUAUACCUUGCUGAAGGAUUGUAACUUGGUGAGGUUGGACUGUAAGUUGGUGAGGUGGGACUGUAUCCAGGCGAAGUUGGGCUGUAGGCAGGUGAGGUUGGGCUAUAUGAUGGCGAGGUUGGGCUGUACGAUGGAGAGGUUGGGCUAUAUGAAGGUGAGGUUGGGCUGUAAGAUGGAGAGGUUGGGCUGUAAGAGGGUGAGGUAGGGCUGUAAGAGGGUGAUGUGGGGCUGUAAGACGGAGACGUGGGGCUGUAAGCCGGAGAGGUUGGGCUAUACGCAGGUGAGGUUGGGCUGUAUGCUGGAGAAGUUGGGCUGUAGCUCGGAGAUGUAGGGCUGUAGCUCGGAGAUGUGGGGCUAUAGCUAGGAGAUGUUGGGCUGUAGGAAGGAGACGUU
rnacentral:lncRNA from 1 species